GGUGUGUAGCUCAGUGGUAGAGUGCCUGCUUAGCAAGUGCAAGGUCCUGGGUUGAAUCCCCAGCUCCAACCU
rnacentral:tRNA from 1 species